GCCUCGAUUGUUGCCGGAGUUUGUGCGUGGGGAGGCCGGGAGGGGGUGAUCCCUAGUAAGUCGCGUAGGGAGGAGCGGAGUGAGGCGAAGGCGGCGGGAAGAGGUUUAAAUAGCGGAGACAGCUUUGAUAUUAUUUAGAGCACACAAAGUGCGUGGAAUAACCUGAGGAGUAAAAUUGUUCGGCAGCAUGGACUUGUUAAUCUCAGCCUGAUCUUGUCAGUAACAGCAGAGCAGAGGGAGAGGGAGAGGAACUCCGGCUGGGGCAGCGCUCCAAAGGUUUGUCUGUUAUUUUAUGGCUAAAUUACGUCUCAGCACCAAACUAUUAAGUAUGCGGAGUGUUGUUUGUAAUCUGUAGAUUCCGCAGUUGCGAAAAUGUGGGUGUUUAGCUGUAUUGUUCGUUUGCAACGGGGAAGAUUUGCCUGUGUGUGUAUGGAAGAGAGCGAGUGUGUUACGAUCUGGGAAACGCUGAAGAAGAAGAAACCCUGUUGGUUCUCCAUGCAAAUGACCGCUUUGGUUGUAACAAAAGCCUUGAUGUUGGGCUUGGAAAAAUGAUCUGACAGUGUAACAACCCCAGGCCACUUUCGCCAUGUUUUUGUUUAUUCAUGUUUCAUUCCGUUUUCCGUAGCUAUCUCACAGAUGUUUCCAAUUUCACUGUUUUUACACCGUCGAGCCUCCUUUUUUGGAGUUAGCAGUAAAAUGUGUGAAAGAAUGUUAACAAAACAGAGAGGUGUUGCAGAUGUUUAUACUUUAGUUCUUGCGUUGCGCUUGACGGUAUUGGCAGAGGGAUACAGUACAUAUGAAGGAACGUCAGAAGCAUCGGUUUUAACUACCGAGCUUGUAAUUUCUAAAUGUGCCCAUUGUAACUUGAAUUUUAACAUAAGCAGAUGAAGUGAACACGUUCCUGAUACAAUAUGUCCAGUUAGUAUCCUUUUUGGUUGUUACUAUUUCUGGGGGGAAAGAUACAAAAUAAGAGCGAGGAAAGGAAUAUAUGUGACACAACAUGUAUGCUCCUAGAUAAACUCCUGCCAUCUCGGAGUGCCUUUAAAUAUUUGAACAGCUUCUGUUAAGUCAAAUAAAAUUGGUUACCAUGAGAAACAAAAAAGUAUAAUAGAAUAGUUUAAACAGACAAAUGAAAACGUUAACAAGGAAUUGCUUUAGAAAUAUUAAUAGAAUGGUAGUAGUGGGGAAAAUCGUUUAAACAGAAUUAGUAGUAACACAUUUAAACCUUUUAGCCACUGAGGAACCUGGAAAACGCUCGCUCUCUGCCCCCUCCCCCCAGAAAUAACCUGCAGAGAUGAAUGAUGAAUCUUAAUGUCACAUAUAUUGAUAUAUUGAAAGAUUGGAGAUUAAAGAGAAAAGGAUUACAGAAUGUAGAGAAUUUUUUUAGCAGAAGACCUGUAGCCUUGCCCUGGGAAUUAACAUUGAAGAGGCUUUUAAGGAGGGGCAGGACUGAGUAUCUAAUGGAAAAUGGCCUAUGAGGUGAAAGAAGUUUAAAUAAAACCAGAAAUUUGAUUUAUGGCCAGUCUUUAUUGUGGGAAUUAAGAAUACAGCCUAACAGACUUUGACGAUGUUCCUACUCCUGCUUCAGCUGAGAAGUAGUGAAGGUGCUAUGUUACACUUUUUGCAAAAGUGUUUCAGCUGAUGAAGCAGAUCAUUUCAUAGGGUAAUAUGGACAGGAAUGUUAUGCUUAUUUGUUUGGAGAAAAGUUGCUGAUCAUACUGACUCUUGAAGGAAUGGGACAAAGAAGAGACGCUAAGUGGAGAUACUAGUUACUGAUUAGCUGUGUGGAAUAUGGAAAGAAUAUGGACAUUUUUCUUUUAAUGGUUAAUCUAUUGUGAUAAAGUU